GAUCCUGGCUCAGGAUGAACGCUAGCUACAGGCUUAACACAUGCAAGUCGAGGGGCAGCGGGAUUGAAGCUUGCUUCAAUUGCCGGCGACCGGCGCACGGGUGAGUAACGCGUAUCCAACCUUCCGCAUACUCGGGGAUAGCCUUCUGAAAAAGGAGGUUAAUACCCGAUGGUAUCAAGAGAUUGCAUGAUAACUUGAUUAAAGAAUUUCGGUAUGCGAUGGGAAUGCGUUCCAUUAGGG
rnacentral:rRNA from 1 species